AGCGAACGCUGGCGGCGUGCUUAACACAUGCAAGUCGAGCGCAGGCAUCUUGGGGGUAACCCCGGAGUGUGCUGAGCGGCGGACGGGUGAGUAAUACGUGAAUAACCUACCUCUAGGACUGGGAUAACUCCGGGAAACUGGAGCUAAUACCGGAUAAGACCACGAUAUCUACGGAUAUUGAGGUAAAAGGUGGCAGGGAAACUUGCUAUCACCUAGGGAUGGGUUCACGUCCCAUCAGGUAGUUGGUGAGGUAAUGGCUCACCAAGCCAAAGACGGG
rnacentral:rRNA from 1 species